CCUACGGGAGGCAGCAGUGAGGAAUAUUGGUCAAUGGGCGCGAGCCUGAACCAGCCAAGUCGCGUGAAGGAUGACUGUCCUACGGGUUGUAAACCUCUUUUAUAAAGGAAUAAAGUGAGGCACGUGUGCCUUUUUGUAUGUUCUUUACGAAUUAGGAUCGGCUGACCCCGUGCCAGCAGGCGCGGUAAUAAGGAGGAUCCGAGCGUUUACCGGAUUUAUUGGGUUUAAAGGGGGCGUAGAUGGGUUGUUAAGUCAGUUGUGAAAGUUUGCGGCUCAACCGUAAAAUUGCAGUUGAUACUGGCAGUCUUGAGUACGGUAGAGGUAGGCGGAAUGCGUGGUGUAGCGGUGAAAUGCUUAGAUAUCACGAAGAACUCCGAUUGCGAAGGCAGCUUACUAAACUGCCACUGACGUUGAGGCUCGAAAGUGUGGGUAUCAAACAGGAUUAGAUACCCGGGUAGUC
rnacentral:rRNA from 1 species